AAACUUUCAACAACGGAUCUCUUGGUUCUCGCAUCGAUGAAGAACGCAGCGAAAUGCGAUAAGUAAUAUGAAUUGCAGAUUUUCGUGAAUCAUCGAAUCUUUGAACGCACAUUGCGCCCUGUGGUAUUCCGCAGGGCAUGCCUGUUUGAGCGUCAUUU
rnacentral:rRNA from 2 species